rnacentral:RNase_P_RNA from 1 species
GCUAUCAGCCAGGUCAUCGCUCUUUUAAUUAAGGGAGGAAAGUCCGGACAGCAAAGGGCAACACACCGGUUAAGCGCCGGCUGUUUGUACAACCAAACAAGAGAAAGUGCCACAGAAAAUAACUUUCCCGUUUUACCGGGAUAAAGGUGAAAACGUGAGGUAAGAGCUCACGAUUACUGCGGGUAACCGUAGUAGUGGGUAAACCUUGUGUGCUGUAAUGCCAUGUACACCAGCGCCGAGAGCGGCUCGCUCAAUGUAACGGUUCGCCGAUGCAGCGUUGGAGGGUGGGCAGCAAGAUCACAAUAGUAAUAUUGUGGCCAGAUAAAUGAUGGCCGUUCCUUCGGGAAUUACAGAAUCCGGCUUAUCGGCUGAUAGCUUUU